UACGGAGGGAGCUAGCGUUGUUCGGAAUUACUGGGCGUAAAGCGCGCGCAGGCGGUCUUCCAAGUCAGUGGUGAAAGCCCGGAGCUCAACUCCGGAACUGCCAUUGAAACUGUAAGACUUGAGGAUGAGAGAGGUGAGUGGAAUUCCGAGUGUAGAGGUGAAAUUCGUAGAUAUUCGGAAGAACACCAGUGGCGAAGGCGGCUCACUGGACUGGUAUUGACGCUGAGGUGCGAAAGCGUGGGGAGCAAACAGG
rnacentral:rRNA from 1 species